rnacentral:lncRNA from 1 species
AAAAGAAGGUAUCAGGGAGAGAGUUCAGAGUAUAGUUUGAAAUAGUUGAUGUCAUCUUACUGAAAGGUGACUGUCACUGCUCAGAAAGGCUGACUGUAGUAUGUAGUCACAGAUGUGAGAAAAGGGGCUUCCUUUUUUCGUUUCCUGGAGGUCCCUGUGUGAACAGGUGGGAGGCUGUCUUCAAAUUCAGGUUUCUUCUUUGAGAACAGAGCCACCAGAGUUCAGCAGGGUUGGUGGUGGUAGUGGUGUCACCACGGAGCCUGUGGUGCAGAGUUCUCUAGGUGGGAUGACAGACAGCUUGCACGCUGUGGAACUGGAUGUCUGUGUCAAAAGACACCUGCUAGUUUGAUGGGCACCCAGGAACAGGGUCAGAGAGCCAGGUUCGGAGGGUCCUGGCACGUGGCAGGGCAGCUCUGGGACUCUGGCAUCCAGCCUGACUUGGGCUCAGGUCUGUUGAGGGUUUUGUGGUCCAGUGUGUCGAUUCCUUCAGAAAGUCUUGGCAGACCUGGAACAGGCAAUGGUUUGGGGAGGUGUUGUCUGUAGCCCUUGGGACUGAAGCCAAAUGGAUCUCCUUUAGAGGUCUGUGUUUGUCUUCCCACAGCUGGCCCUACGCACGGCUCAUUUUGCCAGGGAACGUGUCCCACCGUGCCACAGGUUCCCCUAAUUCGUGGAUAUCUUUUUUUUUUUUUUUUUGGGUUCUUUUUUUCGGAGCUGGGGACCGAACCCAGGGCCUUGCGCUUCCUAGGUAAGCGUUCUACCACUGAGCUAAAUCCCCAGCCCCUAUUCGAGGAUAUCUUAAAUGGGCAGAUGGAGGUGCAGGGGGGUCAAGUGAGUGGGAAUUGUGUUGCAGGUGUUCAUAGCAGCCAUGGCCUAAGAAUCUCUGGGUAAAGGUCACAUAUUCUGGUCCCCACUCUAAGGAGCUAGCCACCCAGCUAACAAGAACUGUCUGCCCUCCCACCCCCGCCCCAGCACCAUCCCCCUUCAGUCUCUACCAGAACAGAGAUGGCCUUGUGGCAGGAGCCCCCACUUCUCCCAGUGACCCCGCCUCCUGCCAGCAACACCCCAGCAGCACAUUCCAUUCUCUGGCCCUGCUGGUGGCUGCCGAUUCAGGUUCCUUCGGCCAUAAGCCUUCUCUGGGGCUCCAGCAGAGGCUGUUUGGGCUGGGACACUGGGCUCCAGCCACACAUAUUCCAGCAACAAGCACCCCCCGCAUUAGAUUUCCCAAGGAGUGAACUUCAAUUCAGCCAGGAUUACAGAUGGCCUUACAGUUGUGGGAUAUGGGCUUGCUUUGUGUAGACCUGAGGCUGGACACUAGUAGGGGUGAAGAGGAGUGGGUCUGCUUCUGCUGGGGCCUUGUAGCAUUACUGGAGCAGCCUCACGAUUGCCUGUGCCCUUGUCCCACCUCACUUCUGUAGAUGGGAGUAAUAGUCUGCAGACUUUCAAGCUGUGACUCCAUAUGCUGUCCUGUACUGCAUGCGAGGAUUAGGGGAAGUUUGGUGACAGCAAAAGGCUCUCAAACUCUGAGCAACUAAAAACCAACUCAAAGCCAAACUCGAAAACCCAUCGGAGGUGUUUGUGGAGCACUGUCCUGAGCACUGCACCCUGUAGAUUCCUCAUGCCACAGAGGCAGUGAAAACCCCUUGGAUCGUACAACGUGAGGCCACUGCAUGUUGUGAACUACAGUGUUUUUACUGUACGUUCAGUUCCUGCUUUUACAGGAACAUGGUGGUUUACAGAAAAUAAGGACUUACUAAUGGCCCUACUUGCAUGUAAAUAUCUAAGGAGAGUAUGUCAUUGGAUUAUUAUGUUGGAAUACUUGAUUUUAAAAUCGGUUACUGUUUGUGGACGGGUGAGAUGGCUCACUAGGUAAGCCCUGCCCACAAAGGCUGGACCCCUGACUUUGAUCCCUGGGACCUUGUUAAAAAGCCAGCCGUGUUGCAUCUGUAAUCUCAGCAUUCUUGUAGAGAAAUGCAAGGAGACAAGAGGAUGGCCCUGGAGAGUGCAGCAGUCUGGCAUAAACUAGAGUCUGCCUGAAAAAGACUGAAGGAGAGAACCAAGCCCUCUGCAUCUACACAUGCACUGUAGCACAGGCAAUAAUAAAAAUUAAAAGAGAAAUGAAAA